rnacentral:rRNA from 1 species
UACGUAGGGUGCGAGCGUUGUCCGGAUUUAUUGGGCGUAAAGGGUUCGUAGGCGGCGUGUCGCGUCGGGAGUGAAAGCCCGUUGCUUAACGGCGGGUUGGCUUUCGGUACGGGCAUGCUGGAGUGCGGCAGGGGAGACUGGAAUUCCUGGUGUAGCGGUGAAAUGCGCAGAUAUCAGGAGGAACACCGAUGGCGAAGGCAGGUCUCUGGGCUGUAACUGACGCUGAGGAGCGAAAGCGUGGGGAGCAAACAGG